AACAAACCGUCUGUUGACUGCGCCCUUAAAGUUGGAUGACUUUAUGUUUCAUGUUUGAUUGUUUUCUCUCCCACCGUGCAGGUGAGCCCAUCCGUUGCUUUCGACGCCACGAGCAUGAACGAGCUAAGAAAAUGGAACGAACAGUACGGCGAAGGCGGCAGCAGGAGCAAGUCGCCGUUCGGGUUCGGCACCUAACAUGAUUCCGCUUCGAUGCCGGCCCUUUUGCUUGUAGCGGCCACUCUGCUCCUUCCUCUGGUUUUUGGUACUCACCUAGAGCCUCUUCGAGCGGUGCUAUGGUGGCCCUGUAUCGAUAGGCAGACGCCUGACGAACACCGAAGUUUCCUGAGCCACAGCAACUGGGUCGCCCGUUUCUAAUGUUGUACUGUUGUCGUGUCCCAGCGGAGGCCUGACCAAACUAUACAUAGGUACAACUAUUUUGUACCAAGAACAGCCGACAGUGUACCGUCUCUGAAAUAAAUCACAUGUUCAUGAUUUGAUUU